UCUUUCCCCCAGGUUUCUUGCCCCCACCCUCCCCCCAGGCUUCUUGCUGCCCUGAGAAAAGCCCGCCAAGCCUGCUCUGUUCUGCCUAGCAACAACAAGCAGCCAAUCAUCGCAGCAGGAAAGCCCGCCAAGCCUCGGCCUAUCCUGAACCGACACGUAACCCUCUGAGCCACCUCAGCAGUCCGCCCAGAAACGGACAGCCUAUCCUAAGCUCCCACGACACUCCGCCAGCCCUGUAUCCACGCCCCGUCCACCCCCCUAUAAACCCCUCCUACCCCAGCUGCGCAGUCGCAGCCAGCCCCGAUCUCCUUCCUUUCCUGGCCUGCCCGCUGGUCCCAAUAAACCUGAACUCGGCUUCCAACUCUCGCUCGAGCUGUUACUUGGGAUCGGGUUACAAAUUUCACUGGGAAGACGGGUUCAUCACUACGGUAAGCAUAGGCCUCAUCACUGCAGGCAACACGUGCCUGUGACCCUGCGUAACCGCCGUGAGCCUCCUACUAAGCAAUAGAAUGUGGAGCACUCAUGUUAUCCUUAGAACGAAAAGCAACAGGAGGACAACGGAUCCAGGAGGCUUCUGACUGCACACGUGUGCUACCUGGCCUCAAGGAGACAGGAUAGAGAGAUACCUUCCUUUUAGCCCUUCAGACUUCAUUGGCCUAGGUAUCUACUAGGGGAGGUCAGAUGUGAUCCCGGAUUUUACAAAGCUCAGACCUUGGUAACUGUGGUAAAAGGAAGAUAGCCAGUUUUUAGCUGGGGAGGCAGGGGUGAGCUGGUGGAAGAGUUUGGCAAGCAAGGUAAAGAACAGAAGGUACAGAGACCAACCCCCACCACCCAGCCACCUGUUGGAAACAGAAAAAACAUCAGCCUGCCUUUCAAGCUUUGCCAAGGAAGAGACACUUCCUCCAGGUCAGUCACAAGCUGGGAGACCACAGUAACUGCUUGGUCUCUUCCUGGUCCGAAAGUGUACAAUUUCCAACCUGGAAUUCUAAUUAUUUUCCUCUGGCUCACAAACCUUGUAGGUCUUGAUAAAUUGUUACAGAAGUAUUGGAAGAUGCUGUCUACACCCAUGUUCCUAAAUCUAAUUAUUUUCUUUCCAAGUCUCCCUCUCCUGCCACUCCCCUCCCCCUUUUCAUUUCCCUUUUAUUCCUUCUCAAGCAAGAUGUAUUGUAAUAAAUUAUCUUAACAGUGGCAUUUCACGUUUUCUCCCCAACUUAAGCGUCUUCCAGGGCAGGUUCCUAUCUUUUCUCUCUUCUACGGGGCCUAGGCGGUGUUAAACACUAGCUUGAUAACUGAUGCUAUGAAUCGAAUUGAAUGUUUGUGUCCCUUCAAACUUCAUCUGUUGAAAUCUUAACCCCCAAAGUGGUGGUGUUUGGAGGAGGGGCAUUUGGGAGGAAACUGGGUCAUGAGGGUAGAGACCCCAUGAAUGGGAUUAGUGAGCUUAUAAAAGGGACUCCAGAGAGCUGUCACUCUUUCUGCCACUAAGGAUACAAGAAGUCAGUCUACCACUGAGAAGAGGGCCCUCGUCGGAACCUGGCCACAGUGGCCCUGAUCUUGGACUUCCAGCCUACAGAACUGAGAAUAAGUUCCUGUUAAGCCAUCCGUCUAUAACACUUUGUUACAGUGGGCUGAACUAAGACAACUGAUUUUUUUUUUUUCUUUUUUUGAGAUGGCGUCUCACCAUGUCGCUUAGGAUGGAAUGCAGUGGUGCCAUCUGAGCUCACUGCAACCUCCGCCUCUUCGGUUCAAGCAAUUCUCGUGCCUCGGCCUCCCGAGUACUUGGGAUUACAGGUGUGCGCCAUCAUACCCAGCUAAUUUUUCAUAUUUUUAUUAGAGACGGGGUUUGGUUGCAUUGGUCAGACUGGUCUCCAACUCCUGGCACGAAGUGAUACACCCGCCUCCGCCUCCCAAAGUGCUGGGAUGACAGACUGAGCCACGGUGCCCAGCCUUGAUUUUCAUGAAUACUCUCGACUUACCUUAAAAUUCUAGGUGUCACAGUUAUCUAAAGGGACUAAAACACAGCACUUCCUAAUCGUGGAAAAUUCUCCAGAUUGUGAAUUAAACCUUUUAGCAGAAUCUCAGAAUUUCUAAACUGAAGG